GGUGGCUUACCCUUCAACCUUAUUCUAAGCAAUGAGUAUGAGAAAACUCAACAAAAGGCUUAUGAGUAUUCUCAAAGGGGGGAUUGUUGGGGGGGGCAGGGUUCCAGG